rnacentral:rRNA from 1 species
CCUACGGGUGGCAGCAGUGAGGAAUAUUGGUCAAUGGGAGGAAUCCUGAACCAGCCAUGCCGCGUGCAGGACGACGGCUCUACGAGUUGUAAACUGCUUUUGUACGGGGGUAAAAUGCUCUACGAGUAGGGUUUUGAAAGUACGGUACGAAUAAGGAUCGGCUAACUCCGUUCCAGCAGCCGCGGUAAUACGGAGGAUCCGAGCGUUUUACCGAUUGAUUGGGUUUAAAGGGUGCGUAGGUGGUUUUAUAAGUUAGCGGUGAAAGACCGAUGCUCAACAUCGGGGCUGCCGCUAAUACUGUAGGACUAGAGAUCAGAUGCGGCAGGCGGAAUUUGUAGUGUAGCGGUGAAAUGCAUAGAUAUUACACAGAACACCGAUGGCGAAGGCAGCUUGCUAGGCCGGAUCUGACACUGAUGCACGAAAGCGUGGGGAUCGAACAGGAUUAGAUACCCCGGUAGUC